GUGAGGAAUAUUGCGCAAUGGAGGCAACUCUGACGCAGCCAUGCCGCGUGCAGGAAGAAGGCGCUACGCGUUGUAAACUGCUUUUAACCGGGAAGAAACCCCAGGACGUGUCCUGGGUUGACGGUACCGGAGGAAUAAGCACCGGCUAACUUCGUGCCAGCAGCCGCGGUAAUACGAAGGGUGCAAGCGUUAUCUGGAUUCAUUGGGUUUAAAGGGUGCGUAGGCGGAGCGUUAAGUCAGUGGUGAAAUCCUGCAGCUUAACUGUAGACUUGCCAUUGAUACUGGCGCUCUUGAGUGCGCUUGAAGUUGGCGGAAUGUGCCGUGUAGCGGUGAAAUGCUUAGAUAUGGCACAGAACACCAAUUGCGAAGGCAGCUCACUAAGGCGAUACUGACGCUGAGGCACGAAAGCGUGGGGAUCGAACAGGAUUAGAAACCCUGGUAGUCC
rnacentral:rRNA from 1 species